GCCGGGCAUGGUGGCUCAUGCCUGUAAUCCCAGCACUUUGGGAGGCUGAGGCGGGUGGAUCUUUUGAGGUCAGGAGUUAAGACCAGCCUGGCCAACAUGGAGAAACCCCGUCUCUA
rnacentral:SRP_RNA from 1 species